rnacentral:rRNA from 1 species
UACGAAGGGGGCUAGCGUUGCUCGGAAUCACUGGGCGUAAAGCGCACGUAGGCGGACUCUUAAGUCGGUGGUGAAAUCCUGGGGCUCAACUCCAGAACUGCCUUCGAUACUGGGAGUCUCGAGUUCGGGAGAGGUGAGUGGAAUUCCGAGUGUAGAGGUGAAAUUCGUAGAUAUUCGGAAGAACACCAGUGGCGAAGGCGGCUUACUGGACACGUAUUGACGCUGAGGUACGAAAGCGUGGGGAGCAAACAGG